rnacentral:rRNA from 1 species
UAAUACGUAGAAGGCGAGCGUUAUCCGGAUUUACUGGGCGUAAAGGGCGUGUAGGUGGUCCUCUACGUUGGCGGUGAAAUCUCCCGGCUCAACCGGGAGGGGUCUGGCAAUACUGGAGGACUUGAGGGCAGCAGAGGAGAGCGGAAUUCCCAGUGUAGCGGUGAUAUGCGUUGAUAUUGGGAGGAACACCAGUGGCGAAGGCGGCUCUCUAGGUUGCCCCUGACACUGAGGCGCGAAAGCGUGGGGAGCGAAGCGGAUUAGAUACCCGCGUAGUCCACGCCGUAAACGGUGGACACUAGGUAUAGGGGGUGUCGACUCCCCCUGUGCCGCAGCUAACGCUUUAAGUGUCCCGCCUGGGGACAACGGCCGCAAGGCUA